UCUUAUUUAGUAUAAAAAGUACAUCUAACUUCCAAUUAGAAAGUCCUCUAAGGAUUAAGAA
rnacentral:tRNA from 1 species